rnacentral:rRNA from 1 species
AGAGUUUGAUCAUGGCUCAGGAUGAACGCUAGCGGCAGGCUUAACACAUGCAAGUCGAGGGGUAACAGGGGUGCUUGCACUCGCUGACGACCGGCGCACGGGUGAGUAACGCGUAUGCAACCUACCCAUAACUGGGGGAUAGCUUCCGGAAACGGAAAUUAAUACCCCAUAGUAUUAUAAUACCGCAUGGUAUAAUAAUUAAAGUUCCGACGGUUAUGGAUGGGCAUGCGUGCCAUUAGCUAGUUGGUGAGGUAACAGCUCACCAAGGCUACGAUGGCUAGGGGGUCUUAAAGGAUGGUCCCCCACACUGGUACUGAGACACGGACCAGACUCCUACGGGAGGCAGCAGUGAGGAAUAUUGGUCAAUGGGCGCAAGCCUGAACCAGCCAUGCCGCGUGCAGGAAGACAGCCCUAUGGGUUGUAAACUGCUUUUAUAUGGGAAGAAAACGUUCUACGUGUAGGGCAUUGACGGUACCAUAAGAAUAAGCAUCGGCUAACUCCGUGCCAGCAGCCGCGGUAAUACGGAGGAUGCAAGCGUUAUCCGGAUUUAUUAGGUUUAAAGGGUGUGUAGGCGGGACUCUAAGUCAGUGGUGAAAUCUUUCGGCUCAACCGGAAAACUGCCAUUGAUACUGGAGUUCUUGAGUAUAGUUGAGGUAGGCGGAAUGUGUAAUGUAGCGGUGAAAUGCUUAGAUAUUACACAGAACACCGAUUNCGAAGGCAGCUUACAAGCUAUUACUGACGCUGAUGCACGAAAGCGUGGGUAGCGAACAGGAUUAGAUACCCUGGNAGUCCACGCCGUAAACNAUGUUCACUCGCUGUCU